GACGAACGCUGGCGGCGUGCUUAACACAUGCAAGUCGAACGGAAAGGCCCUGCUGUUGUGGGGUGCGCGAGUGGCGAACUGGCGAGUAAUACGUUAGUUACCCCCCCUGGACAGAGGGGUAACGUCGAGAAACUCGGGCGAAUGCCGGACAGGAGCUCCUCUUGCAAACAGUGCGUGGGAAAGCCUCGGGGGUUGGGAAAGGAGGCGCGGCUUAUGCGUUUGUUGGAGAGGUUGGGGCUUCCCAAGGCGUCGACGGGUAGCCGGCCUGAGAGGGUGAACGGCCACAUUGGGACUGAGAUACGGCCCAGACUCCUACGGGAGGCAGCAGGGGGGAAUAUUGCACAAUGGGCGGAAGCCUGAUGCAGCAACGCCGCGGGCGGGAAAACGGCCUUCGGGUGGUUAACCGCUUUCGCCUGUGACGGAGCGUGAGUGACGGUAAUGGGUAAAGAAGCACCGGCUAACUACGUG
rnacentral:rRNA from 1 species